rnacentral:tRNA from 1 species
GAAGCUGUGCCUGAAUCAAAGGGUCACUUUGAUAGAGUGAAUCAUGAAGGUGAAAGCCCUUCCAGCUUCU